rnacentral:rRNA from 1 species
CCUACGGGAGGCAGCAGUGGGGAAUAUUGCACAAUGGAGGAAACCCUGAUGCAGCGACGCCGCGUGAAGGAAGAAGUCUUUCGGAGUGUAAACUUCUAUCAGCAGGGAGGAAAAUGACGGUACCUGACUAAGAAGCCCAGGCUAGCUACGUGCCAGCAGCCGCGGUAAUACGGAGGGGGCAAGCGUUAUCCGGAUUUACUGGGUGUAAAGGGGGCGUAGGCGGUUUAGCAAGUCAGAAGUGAAAGCCCGGGGCUCAACUCCGGGACUGCUUUUGAAACUGUUGAACUAGAUUGUAGGAGAGGUAAGCGGAAUGCCUAGUGUAGCGGUGAAAUGCGUAGAGAUUAUGCGGAACACCAGUGGCGAAGGCGGCUUACUGGACUGCAAAUGACGCUGAGGCUCGAAAGCGUGGGGAGCAAACAGGAUUAGAUACCCGGGUAGUC